ACCGAAUCUAAUACCCGUGGGUA
rnacentral:siRNA from 1 species